GACGAACGCUGGCGGCGUGCUUAACACAUGCAAGUCGAACGGGCGCAGCAAUGCGUCAGUGGCGGACUGGUGGGUAACGCGUGAGCAAUCUGCCUCUGUUUACGGGAUAACGCGCUGAAAGGCGCGCUAAUACGGUAUAAGACCACGAAUCGGCAUCGGUGCGGGGUAAAAGGGUUACCGAACAGAGAUGAGCUCGCGUCCCAUUAGCUUGUUGGCGGGGUAAAGGCCCACCAAGGCGACGAUGGGUAGCCGACCUGAGAGGGUGAUCGGCCACACCGGAACUGAGACACGGUCCGGACUCCUACGGGAGGCAGCAGUGGGGAAUAUUGGGCAAUGGAGGGAACUCUGACCCAGCAACGCCGCGUGAAGGAUGGAGGUCUUCGGAUUGUAAACUUCUGAAACAGAGGAAGAAGAAUGACGGUACUCUGUGAGAAAGCCCCGGCAAACUAUGUGCCAGCAGCCGCGGUAAUACAUAGGGGGCAAGCGUUGUCCGGAAUUACUGGGCGUAAAGGGAGCGUAGGCGGUUAUAUAAGUUAUAUGUGAAAACCCGGGGCUCAACCCCGUGCCUGCAUAUAAGACUGUGUAACUGGAGUGUGGGAGAGGUAAGCGGAAUUCCUAGUGUAGCGGUGGAAUGCGUAGAUAUUAGGAGGAACACCUGAGGCGAAGGCGGCUUACUGGACCAUAACUGACGCUGAGGCUCGAAAGCGUGGGGAGCAAACAGGAUUAGAUACCCUGGUAGUCCACGCCCUAAACGAUGGAUACUAAAUGUGGGAGGUAUAAACUCCUUCCGUAUUGAAGCAAACGCGAUAAGUAUCCCGCCUGGGGAGUACGGCCGCAAGGUUGAAACUCAAAGAAAUUGACGGGGACCCGCACAAGCAGCGGAGCAUGUGGUUUAAUUCGAAGCAACGCGAAGAACCUUACCAAGGCUUGACAUAUACCUGAAUACUGUAGAGAUACAGUAGUCUACGGACAGGUAAACAGGUGGUGCAUGGUUGUCGUCAGCUCGUGUCGUGAGAUGUUCGGUUAAGUCCGGCAACGAGCGCAACCCCUAUAUUCAGUUGCCAAUAUUAAGUUAGGAACUCUGGAUAGACUGCCGCGGACAACGCGGAGGAAGGCGGGGAUGACGUCAAAUCAUCAUGCCCUAUAUGCCUUGGGCUACACACGUGCUACAAUGGGCGCAACAAAGAGCAGCGAAUGCGUAAGUAUAAGCGAAUCUCAAAAAAGCGUUCUCAGUUCAGAUUGAGGGCUGCAACCCGCCCUCAUGAAGUCGGAGUUGCUAGUAAUCGCGAAUCAGAAUGUCGCGGUGAAUGCGUUCCCGGG
rnacentral:rRNA from 1 species